rnacentral:rRNA from 1 species
GUGUGACUGCGUACCUUUUGUAUAAUGGGUCAGCGACUUAUAUUCUGUAGCAAGGUUAACCGAAUAGGGGAGCCGAAGGGAAACCGAGUCUUAACUGGGCGUUAAGUUGCAGGGUAUAGACCCGAAACCCGGUGAUCUAGCCAUGGGCAGGUUGAAGGUUGGGUAACACUAACUGGAGGACCGAACCGACUAAUGUUGAAAAAUUAGCGGAUGACUUGUGGCUGGGGGUGAAAGGCCAAUCAAACCGGGAGAUAGCUGGUUCUCCCCGAAAGCUAUUUAGGUAGCGCCUCGUGAAUUCAUCUCCGGGGGUAGAGCACUGUUUCGGCAAGGGGGUCAUCCCGACUUACCAACCCGAUGCAAACUGCGAAUACCGGAGAAUGUUAUCACGGGAGACACACGGCGGGUGCUAACGUCCGUCGUGAAGAGGGAAACAACCCAGACCGCCAGCUAAGGUCCCAAAGUCAUGGUUAAGUGGGAAACGAUGUGGGAAGGCCCAGACAGCCAGGAUGUUGGCUUAGAAGCAGCCAUCAUUUAAAGAAAGCGUAAUAGCUCACUGGUCGAGUCGGCCUGCGCGGAAGAUGUAACGGGGCUAAACCAUGCACCGAAGCUGCGGCAGCGACGCUUAUGCGUUGUUGGGUAGGGGAGCGUUCUGUAAGCCUGCGAAGGUGUGCUGUGAGGCAUGCUGGAGGUAUCAGAAGUGCGAAUGCUGACAUAAGUAACGAUAAAGCGGGUGAAAAGCCCGCUCGCCGGAAGACCAAGGGUUCCUGUCCAACGUUAAUCGGGGCAGGGUGAGUCGACCCCUAAGGCGAGGCCGAAAGGCGUAGUCGAUGGGAAACAGGUUAAUAUUCCUGUACUUGGUGUUACUGCGAAGGGGGGACGGAGAAGGCUAUGUUGGCCGGGCGACGGUUGUCCCGGUUUAAGCGUGUAGGCUGGUUUUCCAGGCAAAUCCGGAAAAUCAAGGCUGAGGCGUGAUGACGAGGCACUACGGUGCUGAAGCAACAAAUGCCCUGCUUCCAGGAAAAGCCUCUAAGCAUCAGGUAACAUCAAAUCGUACCCCAAACCGACACAGGUGGUCAGGUAGAGAAUACCAAGGCGCUUGAGAGAACUCGGGUGAAGGAACUAGGCAAAAUGGUGCCGUAACUUCGGGAGAAGGCACGCUGAUAUGUAGGUGAAGCGACUUGCUCGUGGAGCUGAAAUCAGUCGAAGAUACCAGCUGGCUGCAACUGUUUAUUAAAAACACAGCACUGUGCAAACACGAAAGUGGACGUAUACGGUGUGACGCCUGCCCGGUGCCGGAAGGUUAAUUGAUGGGGUCAGCGCAAGCGAAGCUCUUGAUCGAAGCCCCGGUAAACGGCGGCCGUAACUAUAACGGUCCUAAGGUAGCGAAAUUCCUUGUCGGGUAAGUUCCGACCUGCACGAAUGGCGUAAUGAUGGCCAGGCUGUCUCCACCCGAGACUCAGUGAAAUUGAACUCGCUGUGAAGAUGCAGUGUACCCGCGGCAAGACGGAAAGACCCCGUGAACCUUUACUAUAGCUUGACACUGAACAUUGAGCCUUGAUGUGUAGGAUAGGUGGGAGGCUUUGAAGUGUGGACGCCAGUCUGCAUGGAGCCGACCUUGAAAUACCACCCUUUAAUGUUUGAUGUUCUAACGUGGACCCGUAAUCCGGGUUGCGGACAGUGUCUGGUGGGUAGUUUGACUGGGGCGGUCUCCUCCUAAAGAGUAACGGAGGAGCACGAAGGUUGGCUAAUCCUGGUCGGACAUCAGGAGGUUAGUGCAAUGGCAUAAGCCAGCUUGACUGCGAGCGUGACGGCGCGAGCAGGUGCGAAAGCAGGUCAUAGUGAUCCGGUGGUUCUGAAUGGAAGGGCCAUCGCUCAACGGAUAAAAGGUACUCCGGGGAUAACAGGCUGAUACCGCCCAAGAGUUCAUAUCGACGGCGGUGUUUGGCACCUCGAUGUCGGCUCAUCACAUCCUGGGGCUGAAGUAGGUCCCAAGGGUAUGGCUGUUCGCCAUUUAAAGUGGUACGCGAGCUGGGUUUAGAACGUCGUGAGACAGUUCGGUCCCUAUCUGCCGUGGGCGCUGGAGAACUGAGGGGGGCUGCUCCUAGUACGAGAGGACCGGAGUGGACGCAUCACUGGUGUUCGGGUUGUCAUGCCAAUGGCACUGCCCGGUAGCUAAAUGCGGAAGAGAUAAGUGCUGAAAGCAUCUAAGCACGAAACUUGCCCCGAGAUGAGUUCUCCCUGACUCCUUGAGAGUCCUGAAGGAACGUUGAAGACGACGACGUUGAUAGGCCGGGUGUGUAAGCGCAGCGAUGCGUUGAGCUAACCGGUACUAAUGAACCGUGAGGCUUAACCUUACAACGCCGAAG